GUUUCUUUUAGGUACGAGAAGCUGCCAUGGCUAUAAAACUCAGGAAUGACACCCUGUGUUGGAAACACAUGCCUCGCAGAUUUACUCCUAGCAAUUUCACUAAUAACAUAAUGAUCAGUUGUCAAACACAGACAAGACAUACUUCAAUGGGCAAUUUCACUCAAUUUUGAUGGAGAUUGGCUGGGAGAAAUUUUGACAGUUUUAUACAGGAUCACAGAUGUAUC